AAGUCGUAACAAGGUUUCCGUAGGUGAACCUGCGGAAGGAUCAUUAAUGAAUUCUUAUUCAUCCAUGUAUGUGAACUCGCUUAAGCCGGAUGCCUCUAACGCUUAACUGCGCUGGGGUUUGAAGGCGGCGGCUCUGAAGAUUGGUGGACUUUGAGCCAUCAGUCGUUUCUUACCCACCCUCUGAUCAUUAUUAUGACUGAAAUCACUUUUGUUGAGUGUAAAAACAAAACUUAAGGACAACUUUUAGCAACGGAUCUCUAGGCUCUC
rnacentral:misc_RNA from 1 species